UACGGGGGGGGCAAGCGUUGUUCGGAAUUACUGGGCGUAAAGGGCUCGUAGGCGGCCAACUAAGUCGGACGUGAAAUCCCUCGGCUUAACCGGGGAACUGCGUCCGAUACUGGAUGGCUUGAGUUCGGGAGAGGGAUGCGGAAUUCCAGGUGUAGCGGUGAAAUGCGUAGAGAUCCGGAAGAACACCGGAGGCGAAGGCGGCUUGCUGGGCUCGGUCUGACGCUGAGGCGCGAAAGCGUGGGGAGCGAACAGG
rnacentral:rRNA from 1 species